ensembl:misc_RNA Metazoa_SRP Metazoan signal recognition particle RNA
GCUGAGUGUGGUGGCGCACACCUGUAAUCCCAGCUACAUGGGAGGCUGAGGCAGGAGAAUCACUUGAACCCAGGAGGUGGAAGUUGCAGUGAGCCAAGAUCACGUCAUUGCACUGCAGCCUGGGUGACAGAGUGAGACUCUGUCUUAA